rnacentral:pre_miRNA from 1 species
UGUUUACCUAUUUGUGUCAAUUCUUGUCUUAAAUUUGUCCAAAUACGGAUGUAUCAAGUCAUGUUUUAGUAUUAGGUACAUCCGUAUGUAGACAAAUCUAAGACAAGAAUUUUGGGACGGAGGGAGUAUAGU